rnacentral:rRNA from 1 species
AUUGAACGCUGGCGGCAUGCCUUACACAUGCAAGUCGAACGGCAGCAUGGGUGCUUGCACCUGAUGGCGAGUGGCGAACGGGUGAGUAAUGCAUCGGAACGUACCCGGAAGUGGGGGAUAACGUAGCGAAAGUUACGCUAAUACCGCAUAUUCUGUGAGCAGGAAAGCGGGGGAUCGCAAGACCUCGCGCUUCCGGAGCGGCCGAUGUCGGAUUAGCUAGUUGGCGGGGUAAAGGCCCACCAAGGCAACGAUCCGUAGCGGGUCUGAGAGGAUGAUCCGCCACACUGGGACUGAGACACGGCCCAGACUCCUACGGGAGGCAGCAGUGGGGAAUUUUGGACAAUGGGGGCAACCCUGAUCCAGCCAUGCCGCGUGAGUGAAGAAGGCCUC